GCUUUAAUAAUAUAAAAAAUUAUAUCAAUUUUGUAAAUUGAAAAUGGAAUACCUUAAAGCU
rnacentral:tRNA from 1 species